CGAUGAAGAAGCAAAGGACGACACUCAAAAUAGCAGAAAGAUCAAAGACCGUGACCUUGCUGUUUGGUGACCCGGGGUUUUAGCUUGAUAUUGCUAGUUUGACAGGUACCUCGGGAGUUGAGAUCUCUGGUGGCAGGAGGCCAGAGUUGAGCUGAUAUGCAUGCUGCUUUUAUUAUAUGCCUGGAUAUUACUUCAUGUUUUACUUUCAGUGCAUUGU